rnacentral:lncRNA from 1 species
UCUUUGGUGUUUCCUAGGACCAGUCACCAUCCUGAAGCUCCUGGAGGCUCCAGUGACAGCCACUGGUCACCCAUUUGCAUAUAAAAAGACACUUACAGACUUGGAUAUUUGAAGGAUUUUAGAAACCCUUCUGUGGACCAGAAAGUUGGGAUAAAGACCAGAGAUAUAUUUCACAGUAGCACAGGAGCAUAGAAGAUGGACUUGCUAAGCAUGAGGCAGUGACUCAACACUGGAUGCCACUGGUCAUGAAAGGAAUGAAGAGAAAGAGCCACUCUGCUGGGGCUCCUCACCCUGGGGACUGCUGGCUUCUCAGGCCCCAGAGUCCUCGUACAUCACAGGACUUUUGUCCACGUGCCUGGCUAACACGGAUUUCUGGUAACACAUGGGAUAUAUGCAUAUCAGCUGGCAGAACCCGUUUCUUAUGUGCAAAAUCUUCAUUAGCCAAAAGCAGGAUGCCUGUAAGAAGGAAGGAUAAGUGGAUCGUCGUUCUUCAAACACGUGCAACAGCAAGAACCCAAGUAAUCAAGUUCUGGCAGGAGGUCACGAGGGGUUUUGAUGGACAGCCUAGAUCUGACAUCAGCACAGGGAUAUAGAAGACAACAGCCAUUAAACUCACGGGCACGGAAGAGUUGAGCGAAAGUCACUGCGCUGGGAUGAAACACCGGGAAGCGGGCGGCUCCACCUCAAAAGAAGAACAACGAGCAUUGAGGGCCACCUUGCAGGAAACUGAAGACUGACUAAGCCCAAGUAGCUGGUACCUAAGACAGAAGGUCCAGCAGUAGAGAGGAAAGGACCCCA